rnacentral:rRNA from 1 species
AUGCAGGAAUACCUCUCCUCUAAGUGCAUCGCUGAGAAGGAGCUAGUCAAGUACAACGACCGCCCCUCCAAGGGCAGAGCGUUCGACAUCAUCGUCCUGCUACUGGGCCUCGUAGCAGGAGACACCCUCGGCCUCCUGCCCUACAUCAACAAAAGCCAGCACUUCAUGCUGUCGCCGUUCACCGGCAUCGAGCCUUACCACAACGCCCUCAGGUUCACGCAGGCCGUCCUCGGCGCCGUGCCGGUGGUGCACGUCGACGACGUCAGCGAGGCGCACGUCUUCUGCAUGGAGCGCCAGCACGACGUGGCCGCCGGCCGGUACCUCUGCGCCACCGCGCACACCAACAUGCAGGAUAUGGUGGAGCACUACGCGGGCAAGCAUCCCGAGCUCAAGCUAAUGUGUAGAACUAUGUAG